rnacentral:lncRNA from 1 species
UUUCAGAAAUAAACCAUUGAGUAGAAAUGCGCGGAUCCUCCCCGGGUCAAAUCGGAUCAUCGGGUCACAAGGCUAUACGACGUCGUUUUGAGGCCACUGAAACCGGCCACAAACGACGUCGUUCUACAGGCGUAUUAAAAGACAGAAAAAAACUGUUAAACCAUUCACCAUUUCAGAAUAAAAAGGAAAAGAAAAAAAGAUAAUAAAAAACCCCUAAGGGUUUCGUUCCCUUCCCAUGCGCCGCCCUUUUGCCUCAACUCUGAUUACCAGAGGAAGACGCGAGCUUCAACGGC